rnacentral:rRNA from 1 species
UACGUAGGCGGAAUAAUAAGUCAGUGGUGAAAUCCUGUGGCUCAACCACAGAACUGCCAUUGAUUCUGUUAUUCUUGAAUAUAGUUGAGGUAGGCGGAAUGUGUAAUGUAGCGGUGAAAUGCUUAGAUAUUACACAGAACACCGAUUGCGAAGGCAGCUUGCUAAACUAUUAUUGACGCUGAGGCACGAAAGCGUGGGGAGCGAACAGGAUUAGAUACCCUGGUAGUCC